CCAAACACAGAGUUUUGGUAAAUUCCAUUAGCAACUAAAAAAAAUUCCAUAAUUCAGACCAGGAAAAACAUUUUGAAGGGUCGUACAUCUUUUGCAGUUAUGAACAUAUUCCAUGGCAUCAAAAUUCCAAUUCCAUGAAGUACCAUUAUGCAGAAUACUAUGUUUAAUCUAAAAUAAAUACAUAUUUUA